rnacentral:rRNA from 1 species
AUAGCGCGUGAGGGAGGAGGUCUUUGGAUUGUAAACCUCUUUUCUCAGGGAAGAAGAUCUGACGGUACCUGAGGAAUAAGCAUCGGCUAACUCCGUGCCAGCAGCCGCGGUAAUACGGAGGAUGCAAGCGUUAUCCGGAAUUAUUGGGCGUAAAGAGUCCGUAGGUGGCUAAUCAAGUCUGUUGUCAAAGACCGCAGCUUAACUGCGGAAAGGCAAUGGAAACUGAUGAGCUAGAGUAUGGUAGGGGUAGAGGGAAUUCC